CGGGCAGAACCCUACAACUCUCUGUAAAAACGUACACCUCCAACUCAUUUUUCAACGGUAACAUGUACUUUGUCUCUUCAAUUGGCAACGGAUUUUGCUUAUCUUCUCUGAAGAUUUUCAGGGGGAAGAACAUAGCCACAAUGGGUUUGUACACCCACAAUGGGGUUUUUGACAACCCUCAAGAGUUUGAACACUUAGAAGCUCAGCAAAAUCCUUGAGUUUUGAGGAAGUUCGAGCUCGUACUUUAAUUUUUGCAAAGUCGUUUCCGUUCGUCGAAAAUUGAUUAGUGUGAAAGGUAGUUUGUCGUCUCUCGUCGCCCCCGUCGCUGCUCGGCAAAAAGGACAUCUCUGGUUGCCUUGUGAGUAAAGCUCCUAGCUCUGCUGCUUGUUGCUGGUUUUUUAGACAGAUACUACACGUGGCUAAGAAUGGUUGUUGAAGGUAUGUUGAGCUGAAUUUGGUCAGAUGCCCUUAUGGGAUUACUGUUACAUUGUUGUUGCUAUCAGCCACAUUCAAAGAAACAGUUUCCUGCACAUCUUGAGCAAAUCUGUUGUUAUGCUUGAGACUUAGUUGCUCCCAUAUUUGGUAGAAGUGACUAUAGCUUGAAAGGAUUAUUUCCUACAUUUUAAGGGCUGAAAAAUGCCAUCUCUUUUAGUAAAUUUGUUGUUGCUAGUUGGCCUGAAAGAUGCUGCUGCAGGUUUGAGAAACAA